CUACGGGUGGCUGCAGUGGGGAAUCUUAGACAAUGGGGGAAACCCUGAUCUAGCCAUGCCGCGUGAGCGAUGAAGGCCUUAGGGUUGUAAAGCUCUUUCAGCUGGGAAGAUAAUGACGGUACCAGCAGAAGAAGCCCCGGCUAACUCCGUGCCAGCAGCCGCGGUAAUACGGAGGGGGCUAGCGUUGUUCGGAAUUACUGGGCGUAAAGCGCACGUAGGCGGAUUGUUAAGUCGGGGGUGAAAUCCCGGGGCUCAACCCCGGAACUGCCUUCGAUACUGGCAAUCUUGAGGUCGAGAGAGGUGAGUGGAAUUCCGAGUGUAGAGGUGAAAUUCGUAGAUAUUCGGAGGAACACCAGUGGCGAAGGCGGCUCACUGGCUCGAUACUGACGCUGAGGUGCGAAAGCGUGGGGAGCAAACAGGAUUAGAUACCCCCGUAGUC
rnacentral:rRNA from 1 species